CCAGGGUGAGGGUAGUGGACGGCUGGGUGACCCCCCUUCCCAGGGAACGGCGCCUUCCCUCCCGCCGCAGCGUGUGGGGCUCCAGGGCGCCGUGUCCCCCCAGCCCUGCACUGCGGGACAGCAGGCGGAGCUCGCUGGGCCCGCUCCUGACGGCCGGUCUUGUGAAGUCUUGGCAGAACCCCUUUUCAGGUCCUCCUCCAGCGUUUAUUUUGGGCACUGGUUCUGGUUUUCUUUUUUGUGGGGCUGGGGACGGAAGCCGGGGUCUCGAACAUGCUGGGCAAGUGCUGUCCCACAGAGCCACAGCCCGGCCUGCGUGUUCUUCGGCCCUGGAGCCGUUGGAGCCCCCCGAGGAUCCUCCAGACGCCUGACUUGUGAAUAUCCCCCGUCUCUGUUCACUUUGGGUCGUGUCUUUGAAGCUUUCUAAGUUUGACCAAGUCUGACAUCUCUGCUGCUUUUGGUGUCCCCCCGAGAGCCCGCUGAAACCUCAGGGUGGUGGAGAUUCAUCGCUAAGCAGCAGGCGAUGGAGGUUCUGGUCCCGCCUUGUGGGUCUGGUCUCCUGUGGUUUUUGCCGCGGCGUGAGGUAGGGAUCUGGCUGUACUCUGCUCUGUGCCGUCGUGACGUCCUUGUAUCAAGGCUUGCUGUGACAUCCGUGUGGAGGACAGACCGCAGGGCAGGGAGGAAGCAGGGGAUCAGCUUCCCGUCCUGCGUGGCCAUCUGUCCCAAGGAAGGGUUCCUGAGCCACCAGGAGGUGACGUUCAAGAGCCUGACAGACCCAGCACUUGGCAGCCUCCGCAGCAGAGACUGCUCUAGGCAGGAGUGCCCGCGGGUCCCAAAGCCAGCGGGUGGAACGUCACGAGUCACAGGCCACGCACACAAGGUGUCAGGUAGGGAAAGUGCAGUGUUCAGGGGGCGGGCCAGAGGCACCCCGGUAGUGGACACGCACCUGCAGGCCUCCUGACGCCUUGCCCAGAGGACACAGCCCCCCCCCCCCCAGGUCCUGCCCCGUCAGGCAGGCUGAGUCUUGUCACGAGGCGAUUGCCGGCGCGCCCAAGCCAAGGGCGUUAAAGUAACUGCCUGAGAAGGGCCCGGAAGACGGAGAGACCUUCCCACGGAGAGCCACAGGGUACAGCGGCAGGCAACGUGUGGGUCAGGACUUUUGGUCUAAAGGGCUUUUUGUGGCAGUUGGUGAAAUCCCAGGGAGGUCUCAGAUCAGGAAGCUACAGGAAUCCGAGCCGAGGCCUGACCUCCAGGGCUCUGUGGUGGCUGGGAAGAGCCACUCAUCCUCAGGAUGAGCGUGGUGACGUGUGCAGGGGAAGCACGUCCCCCACCUCGGCCAGGCAGGGCGAGGAAACAGGCAGCGGAGCCCCGCUGGGAGCAGGCGUUCGUGCCCUCGUGUGAGCUUCUUCACCCUGCUCGCCCUGCCUGCCCACGGGGGUCCCCUGAACCUGCCGGAGGCCUGCCUGUGAGGGGCCCAUGACCUCCUUCCAGGUGAAGGGCCAUCAGGGAAGCUAGCACUUACUUCCCGGGCUUUGGGGUCGAACCUUUGCCUGAAUUGUGGCUGUGUGACCUGCGGUAAGUGGGUUAACUUCUCUGGGACAAACUCCCAUACCUCCACAUGCAGACUCUGACUCCUGCCUCGCGGGCGUGAGAGUGAAGCACCGUCAGACAGAGCGGAGGGCUGUUGCAAGGCCUGGCACGGCCCCUGGCACGUUUACCGAACGAAAAGCCAGGGAAGAAUGAGAGAGUGGCCUGUCUCGGGGGCCACUCAUCCUCUCGCAGCGUCUGUUAGAAGCUCUGGGGGGAUUACCAGGAAAUGUCAACCUGACUUAAUAAGCCAUGUGUCACGUUGUCAUGUUCGUCUGCACCUUUCCUCGGUGUCCCGGGGUGGGCGCUGGGCAGGCCCCUGCCUGCUGCUCAGGCCGUGUCCCCACGUGCACACGGCUCACGUUCCAGCGCCCGCGGGCCUGCUGUGGACAGGGAUGGGCCCUGCUCCUUUUGCUCGGUGACAAGCUCCCUGGUUCAUGCCUGGUCCUGCACAGGUGCUGAGCGUCUGCCCCUCCUGAGCCUCCCAUUUUUUCCCGGGGGCCCCCAACCUCCUCAUGGUGGGGUCCCUCAGCCAGGGGUCCCCUCCUGGGAGUCCCCUGCCAGGGUCUUCUCUGCAGUGCUGUCCCCCCAGCUGCCGGGUGGCCCCGCAGCCUCUGUUCUGUGGGCCAGUUGGCUGUCUCCCUUUGGAAACCUCAGAGGCCCUGAGCGGCUGGAUGCCCACGGCAGCUAAGCAGGCCCAGGAGGCCAGCCCACCCCCUUUCCCCACGUCUCGUGUCCUCUGUUUGCGCCAGCCUUCAUGGGAACCUGGAGGCCCAGCAGCCCAGGAGGCCACGAGGUGGGUCUGCUGGCCACGCUGGACACCCUGUCCCACCUUCUGGCCAGCAGGUGGAGCCAUCCCACACUUUAUGGCCCUGAGGUGCUGGUGCCGGGAAGCUGGGUUUGUCUCCGAAGGCGGCUUCAAGAUCCAGGGGCUACGGUGUCCCUGAACAGUCACUGGGGGGGGGGGGGUCAUCCUGGUCUCCACCCAGGUUUUGCACUGAGUUUUGAGGCCAGAAGAGAAUUUCAUUUAGAUACCCCAGGAUACCUGCAGGAAGGCGGGUGGGCUGGACCGUGGGCACUGGCCCUGCCCGCCAGGCCCUGCCCUGUGCCCUGUGCCCUGUGCUCUGUGUCCAGGCAAGUUAUAGACCACUCUGAGCCUCAGUUUCCUCACCCGAGAGGCAGAGAUGGGAGUCCAGUGCCACAGCUGUCCAGGGGCUCAGCCGAUGCUUGCUCCGUGGCUGUGGGUGGCCUGGGGGUUGCAGAACGGCAGGUGCCCUCUGUCAUGCGGGGGGCACUGGUGGUGCUUCCACAGGACCCAGCCUGCCUCACAGACCUGAGGGAAAUGGGGCCACAGUCUUUCUGGAGGGUCCCCUGGGGACAUGCUGAGUGGACUGUGGUGUCAGCAUUGGAGCAGGUGCCUUGAGCUGGGCAUCAGAGGACUGUAGGGCCUCUCCAGGGAAGGGCCUGUGAGCAGAGGGAGUGGCCAGGCAAGGGUGAGACGGGCCCCCUGGCUGGGCCCAAGGGGUGGUGUGGAGGGGCCCAUUGAGAGGGUCUUACUGAGGUGGGGCGGUGGCCCUGGGCUGGGGCUCUGGAGGACAUCGAACCAGGCUGAAGCAAGCCCCCCAGCAAGGAUGGAGUCCCACCGCUCGGGGCCUUCAUCUUCCCCCCAACAUGGUGGCGCAGGCAGGGCACCCCCCGAGCCUCAGACUGAGAUUGUGGAAAAGGGAGUCCGGGGUGGGCCACGCCUGUGGGGAGCUGCUCCGGAGGCUGAGGCAGGAGGUUAGAAGUCCCAGGCCGGCCUGGGCGACUUAAUGAGAUUCCACCUCAAAAUAAAAUAAUAGGCAGGGCUGGGACUCCAGGCGGAGUGCUGCCUGUCUACCCCCACGGCCCUGGUCCCACUCCCAGGAGAACGGAGCCACCCAGCCCCGGAGGCUGGGCCGAUCGCUCCUCUCUGCCUCCAUUCCUGCCUGGGUCCCCUCUGCCGCCGGCUUGUGUGCUGUUGGCCACCUGGGCGGGGGCCUGGGGCGCUCCUUCCUUGCAGGAGGUCAGGGCCAGGCCCUUCCUGCACCUCCUCUCUGCUGAGCCUCCAGCUGGGCUCUGCCUGGAGGCCCGCCCCGCCCGGUGAUGCUGCUGCACCCGCAGGUGCAAGGGCUCCGACUCAGGGUCGCUCUUGCUUCUCAGAGUCGGCGAGCAGAGCUGCCGCUCGCGGGGCCCUGGGCCCCCGGCGCCUUCACUGGCCCCCACAAGCGCAGGAACAUGGACCCCUCUGGAACUGGGUCUCUGGCCCCUAGCAUCUGGCCAUCUGUCCAGAGGCCAGUGUCAGCAUGGCCGGGUGAUUUCCUGUGGAGGCGCGGCACCCGGGAUGGCCAGGCGAUGGCAUCGGGCUGUGGGCUGCUGUUCCCAUCUGGGGACAGGAAGGGCCCUGAGAUGGAACCACCUUGGGCAAGGGCACAAUCUGACUGUCCCUGACGGUGACCCCUCCACCAGGGCUGGGAGGAGCAGGCCUGGCCAAGCCCCUAGUUUCCACAGUGGACCCUGGGAAGUCGGGAAAGUGGAAGGAAACCUGCAGCCCUGCCCACGGCCCCCCGGGCCAGGGGUCUCCAAGGGCCUCACAGGGGGCUUUUGUAAAGGGGCCGGAAUGUAAGAUUGGGUGGCAGGUUGUCGUGCUCACAGAACUGCCUGGCCUUGAACAGUGGCCACCCUGAUGACAAUAUUUAGUCCCAGACGCCUUCCCCGGCCGGGGCAGAGUCUGAGGCGCCCACGCCCCACAGCCACCCCUCUCCCAGCCUUCAGCAGAAGUGAGCUCCUGACCUUCCCAGCUAUCUGGCCAGGCAAGUACCAAGGAACCGAGACUGUCACGCUGGAUCUUCUGAGGACAUCUGCUGUCACACACGUCAAUCACCCUUUACCUCUGCAUCCGAGGGUCUCCCGAGUAACUUUCCCCGACAGGGCGAGCAGGUGACGGGCCACGGUGUGGCCCCCUGGGCGAGGGGGGGGUGCCCAGCUCCUCCGGUGCCUUUGAUGACUUCCUGGCACAUCAGCCCCGAGUGGCACUGACCCCUGAGCAGGGUGGGCACCUGCUGCAACCCGACAGCUGUGUGGGUCGGGGCUCUGUGGGAGGGACAGGUGCAGGGUGGUGGACCCCAGCCAUGCCCCACUCUGGGAGGCCACUGAGGGUGUGUGCCUUCAUCCCCGAGGACGGGGACGAGGACGAGUAGCUGCUCUGAGCUGCCUGCAGCUGCACGUGAGCUCCAGCUCUGCCACUCCCAGGCUCUGUGGCCCUGACCUCUCUGCCUGUCUGGGAAGUCGCACGCGCUGGCAGUGCCCUGUGCUGACCUGCACUCUCUGUGUGGCACACCCCCAGGCCCGGCCAGGCGAGGGCAGCCAGGCGCCCAGACACACGGUUGAAGGUGAGGCCUGCUCUUGGGCGCUGGCCCUGCACUGCAUGACCUGCGAGGGGGCCUCUCCCUCCACCCCGCUGGGGUACCUCUCCUGCUUUACCCUGGCCCUGGCCUUGCGCUUUGCCCCACGUAAAGGUCAAGGGUAGCCCCAUGGCACAGAUGGGCUAGAGGCUCAAAGAGAUGGAGCCCCACCCAAGUCUCCCCUGGUGCUGUGUUUUUGGAAGGCAGAGACUGUACCUUAUUUAUCUCUCGCAGUUGUGUCCAGCACCUGGUACACAGCAGGUGCUGAAUAAAUGCUUAUUAUGUUC
rnacentral:lncRNA from 1 species